GACGAACGCUGGCGGCGUGCUUAACACAUGCAAGUCGAACGGAAAGGCCCUGCUUUUGUGGGGUGCUCGAGUGGCGAACGGGUGAGUAACACGUGAGUAACCUGCCCUUGACUUUGGGAUAACUUCAGGAGACUGGGGCUAAUACCGGAUAGGAGCUCCUGCUGCAUGGUGGGGGUUGGAAAGUUUCGGCGGUUGGGGAUGGACUCGCGGCUUAUCAGCUUGUUGGUGGGGUAGUGGCUUACCAAGGCUUUGACGGGUAGCCGGCCUGAGAGGGUGACCGGCCACAUUGGGACUGAGAUACGGCCCAGACUCCUACGGGAGGCAGCAGUGGGGAAUAUUGCACAAUGGGCGGAGGCCUGAUGCAGCAACGCCGCGUGCGGGAUGACGGCCUUCGGGUUGUAAACCGCUUUCGCCUGUGACGAAGCGUGAGUGACGGUAAUGGGUAAAGAAGCACCGGCUAACUACGUG
rnacentral:rRNA from 1 species